rnacentral:rRNA from 1 species
CGCGCAGGCGGUUUUAUUAGUCAGAUGUGAAAGCCCACGGCUCAACCGUGGAAGUGCAUUUGAAACUGUAAGACUUGAGUACCAGAGGGGGAAGUGGAAUUCCCGGUGUAGAGGUGAAAUUCGUAGAUAUCGGGAGGAAUACCGGUGGCGAAGGCGACUUUCUGCUGGAUACUGACGCUGAGGCGCGAAAGCGUGGGGAGCAAACA